GACAGAGGGUGCAAACGUUGUUCGGAAUUACUGGGCGUAAAGGGCGCGUAGGCGGCUCGGCACGUCCGUUGUGAAAUCGCCCGGCUCAACUGGGCGGGGUCAGCGGAUACGGUCGAGCUUGAGCAAGCUAGGGGGCAAUGGAAUUCCCGGUGUAGUGGUGGAAUGCGUAGAUAUCGGGAGGAACACCAGUGGCGAAGGCGGUUGCCUGGAGCUUUGCUGACGCUGAGGCGCGAAAGCGUGGGAGCGAGUCCGG
rnacentral:rRNA from 1 species